AUAAAUAAAUAAAUAAAUAAAUAAAUAAGUAAAUAAAAAUAAACAGCAGGUCCUAAUAGCACACACUCACUGUUUGCCAGGCACUGUGCUAAGCAUUUCACAUGCAUUUUCUCACCAGAUUCUACUACCAUUAUUAUUAUCCUCAUUUUACAGAUGAGGCAACUGAGGUACAGGGACAUAAAGUCACCUGCCUAAGGUCACAAUGUCAGUAAGUGGCAGAGCCAGGAUUUAAAUCCAGGUCUGUACGACUCCAGGGCCUGGUGCUCCAACCCUGGCUGAGGGCUCCACAGCAUAUGGAGGGAAGACUUCAGCUAAAGGGUGAGGUUCAGUUCAGCUCUCAGCUUGGGGAAAUCCCCUAGGUUUCCCUUGGGUCCUGGAGGGUGGCUCUCAGGGCCCUGUUGCAGAGAAGUCUGCAGCUGUACCCCAUGGCCCAGGAAAAGAUGGGGAAGGGGCUGCGGGUGGGCCAGACGGGCCAGGCUGGGCCAGAGCUCCGGGCAUUCCGGCGGCCUCCGCAGGAAGCAGAACGGGACGGAAACCGGCUCCUGCCUCCUCCCCCAGAAUCCUGUGGGCAGCCCAGCCGGCCGCACAGAGGCCCUCUUUGUGCCUGCCCCAACCCGCCACCCGCGGCUGGCCCAGGGUUUUGAGUUUCCUGGGGGGUGGGGGCCCAGCCACUGCUAAGCCUCCAUCUAGCUCCCCUCCUGGGGGCAGCCACAGCAGUCCACAGCUGGAGGAGGAAGAGAGGGGAUGGCCAGGGCCACUCUAGAGACCCUGGGGGCCUGGAGUCUGCCCACACCCCAUUCCUCCAACAUUUACACACCCAAAUCAGGGGCUGAAGGUGGGAAGAGGGACCCAGAGACAGAGUUGAGGUCACCCCCCAGAGUCUGCCUCUGCCAGCAGCCACCAAGACUGUCACGACACACCUGGAACCCCCCCCAUCCCACGCCAUCCUGGCACUCUUGGGCCUAGAGUGGUGCACACAGUGAAGCUGGGCAGUGGGCCAGGCAGUCCAUGUCAAACCAUUUCCCACUCUCCGAGGCUCCCCGGACACACAAGGCUCAGCAAGCUGAGGCCUCAAGCUCACUUCCCAGUAUUUUGGGGGACAAAAGCCCCUCGGGUGGCAUAACUGCCCAAGGAUGCUGGGCACCUGGGAGUGAGCUCAGGGGGCUGGAGUGUGUAUGGUGACAAAAGCACUGCAUACAGUGUGUUUUCGCGUGUCUACCCAGGAGGUGUGCUGCACAACUGUGUGUGAGUGCGUCCAGUGGACUCUGAAUGUGCCCAGUUGAGUGUGUAGUCUCAGAUGUCGCCCUCUACAGACCACAGCAUUAAAGCAUAUACGGGGAUCAUGUACCAGUGCUGGGGGAGAUCUUUGACUCUGUGACCUCUGAGGGUAAAGUGGAGGCAUGUGUGUGCCACCCACGUCUGUGAAUGUAUAUGGAUGUCCAAGUGCACGCGUGUGCGAAUAGGGUGGUUUAUGUGGUGAGAGAAUGUUUGUGGGUUCUUCUGGUCUGUACAUGUCAACAUUAUCUUUGCUGCAUGAAUGUCAGUGUGUGUGUGUUCAUGUGCACUGUGAGUUGUGUCAGGAGCUCUGGGCUGUAUGAGAGUCUGGGGCCCUCAUGGAACGGGGAUGGUGUAGACAGGAACUGGUGCCAGCUGCUAGGGCCCCUAUGGAAACAGGAAGCUGCCCACAGGUGCACCUGGGCUGUGGUGGGGGCUGGGUUCCAUCCAGGUUCAGUUUGUGCCUCUAUGAAACCAACCCAGGGUUCCACUAGCCUAGAAUCUGUCCCAGCUGUAAGGGGGACACCUGCCUUGUCUGCUGUUCAAGGUCCAACAGCUCUGGCCAGUGUCUACCGCCUGCCUGGCCUGAGCGUGGAAAAAACUGGAAAACAAAAGCCCCCAGACCGCAGGCCCUCCCUGCAGAGGCGUCGGGGAGGCAGGCAAGAGGCGGGAGGCUGAGGAGGAGGGAGGGAGGUGUCGCCGCAGCCCCGGAACACAAAAAUAAUGAGGCGAGAGGGGCCAUGGGGCCAAGCCGGCUAGUUCCGGAGUCGCUAUCUGACCUUGACAGAUGCCACAGCUGGGCGCCUGGAGAGGAGCUGCGCCACAGUGCUGCAGAACCCCCCCAGCACCUCCCCCAGGCCAGGGUCGAUGGAGGCUCAAGCUGGCCCCAGCCAGAGGCAGCCACCCCAUGAGGUGGGAGCCAGAAGGACUCGGAGCACCUCCCAGUAGGGGGGAUGGGGUAGGGGUGUCUGGAGGCAAGGGAGUGGGAGCAGGGCCACUGCAGGGCACAAAAGGCAGCAGUGGGGUCUUCUGAGGGUGCCCCUGCCCUCAGGUAAGGCUACAUGUGUGAGAAGCACGCAGAGCCUGCCAUUGUGUGUGUGUAGCUUGGCUGCGGGGCUGUGUGUGUGGAGAAGGGAAGUAAAGCGUGAGUGUUGGUGUGACAAAAAUUGUACUUGUGUGCAUGUGUCCUCGGGGUCACACAAGGCUGGGAAGACAGGCUCAUGUCCCUGAAAUGGGUGUGGCCACAUCACUCGGUGUUGGCACUGAUCACUCCCCAAACUCAUUUAGAGUCACAGCUGUCCUGGCGGGUGCGAGCUGUGCUGGGUCUAGGGGUAGGAUGGGAGACAAAGAGAGCCACAAGUCCUGUCACUUGCAGAUGGGGGAGAGGCGCCCCUCCGGCCCUUCCUGACCUACCCUCUCUCCCGCUACAGCAGUUGUCCCAGGCACUCAGUGAUGGGCACGGGGCUGCGCACCGCCACUCUAGGGACAUCAGCCAGGGGCUGGGGUGAGUUGCAGGAGGGGAUGCUGGGCUGGAGGUGGAUUAGCAAUUCCGAGCACUGGCUGCAUAAUUAAAAAAUCAUUACGGCAGGCGGGCAGAGCUGAGUGUGAGCUCACGCUUAGAGCGGGCGGGGACACUGCCAUGGCACUCCCCCUCCCACUGCUUCCCCGAGGAAAAAUCCCACCUGCUAAUAUAAUUAUGGAAAAACACAAGCACGGAAAUUUGGUUUCAGCAAACAACGUGCCUGAGUGCCCAGGGCCUGCCUGGCCCUCAGCACAGCGAGCAGGCUGGCCAGUGGCACCCAGGACUCACGGAAGUAAGGCAGGCCCUCCUGGGUCCAGACAUUACCUCCACUCCCUCAGCAGCCCCCUAAGAGAGGAGACUGGCCGGGGGAUACAAAGCCCAGCUCCCUAAAUCCCAAAUUCAGGAGAAAAUGGGCUGGUGCUGAUGGUUUACAAACGGGGAAACUGAGGCUAAGGAAUCUACAUAAGGUCACUGUGUUUGUGGCAAAGCCAAGAGGAACUAGAUCCGUGCUCAGUGCAACACCUCAGGGCUCAACACCGCCUCGUGACUCCCCCUAUCAUCAGUCAUCCCCCAGCCUUCUCCGCUCCGCCUGGGAUAAGCUUCUCUCUCCUGGAGACUGAAGAGAGCCUCCAACCCAGCACACCAGAGCUCUGCAUCCAGGCCUGAAGCCACCGCAGCUGCUGGGGCCCUGGGAGCAUGAAUAAUAAUGUGAUGAUAACAAAA